CAGCCGCCGCGGUAAUACGUAGGGUGCGAGCGUUAAUCGGAUUUACUGGGCGUAAAGCGUGCGCAGGCGGCCCGUUAAGACAGGUGUGAAAUCCCUGGGCUCAACCUAGGAAUUGCGCUUGUGACUGGCGGGCUCGAGUACGGUAGAGGGGGGUGGAAUUCCUGGUGUAGCAGUGAAAUGCGUAGAGAUCAGGAGGAACACCGAUGGCGAAGGCAGCCCCCUGGGCCUGUACUGACGCUCAUGCACGAAAGCGUGGGGAGCAAACAGGAUUAGAUACCCUUGUAGUCCACGCCCUAAACGAUGGGUACUAGCCGUUUGGUGCGCGAUAGCGCUGAGUGGCGAAGCUAACGCGAGAAGUACCCCGCCUGGGGAGUACGGCCGCAAGGUUGAAACUUAAAGGAAUUGGCGGG
rnacentral:rRNA from 1 species